UAUGAUAUAAUUGAAAAAAUUACAAAAAUUUCACACAUAUUAUAACAAAAUAAAAUUUGUUUCAAAUUAUGAUAAUAAUGAUUAUAAAAAUAAAUAUAGAUCAAACUCAAAUAAGGGAAACCAAACACAUGAACAUAAACGCAAGUCACGUGUAAAGGAAUUUCAAAUUCUAAUUUUUUUCUAUAUAAAAUCAGAAUUUAAAGAAACAUCAUGAUCUCAUAAUGUACCAUCAAAACCUAAAUUUGAUUAAUUUGUAUUUAAUAAUUCAACUUUUUUGAUCAUGUUGUUUCAAUCAAUUUUUUUUUUUUUUUUUUUUUGUACUCUAUCCACUCCCACCUGAGUGGCAGUGGCAAGAGCUGUAGGAGACGCGGCAAUGAUUUGUGCUGGCGAAGAGUUUCCCUUAGAUGAAUCCGUGCUGCUGAGGCGAACAACUCCCACCGUCUGCUGUUGCUGUUGCGAUUGUCCACCUUGUCCUUGACUGGAUGAAUGCGAUGGAUGCGAUGAGGAAUGAGGAGUUGAUUGUUGUAUCAGUACAUUUGAUUUAUCAUCUUCUUCACUGAAUGCAGAUCUUGCAUCCAUGCGUACAUUUGCCCAAGGAAGUUCUUUUGGCCACCAUGGAGGUCGUGUACUAUCUCUUCCCCAACCGGGUUUACCUCUGCCUGUAGAAUACUUUAACAUUAAUGGGAUGAAUGCUCUAAGUUGAGCUUGUGUCAUUUUUUCCACAGGUGUUGAUCCACUACUUGGCUCUUCAUCAUCAUCAUCUGAGAUUCUGUCCAUUGUGCCAGACUCUGCACUGGGCAGAGAAACCAUCUUCUUGUCUUCGUCACCCGUUUUGUCUUCAGUUAUAUUGCAAUGCCCCGUAGAAACAAAUGCCAAUCUUUGAUUUUUGAUUUUUCUUCUACAUCACCUUCUCCUAGA